CACGUAGGGUGCGAGCGUGUCCGGAAUUAUUGGGCGUAAAGAGCUCGUAGGCGGUGUGUCGCGUCGGCCGUGAAAACCUGCAGCUUAACUGUGGGCUUGCGGUCGAUACGGGCAUCACUGGAGUUCGGCAGGGGAGACUGGAAUUCCUGGUGUAGCGGUGAAAUGCGCAGAUAUCAGGAGGAACACCGGGUGGCGAAGGCGGGUCUCUGGGCCGGAUACUGACGCUGGAGGAGCGGAAAGCGUGGGGAGCGAACAGG
rnacentral:rRNA from 1 species